UACGUAGGGGGCAAGCGUUGUCCGGAAUCAUUGGGCGUAAAGCGCGUGUAGGCGGCUUGGUAAGUCCGCUCUGAAAGCCCGGGGCUCAACCCCGGGAGGCGGGUGGAUACUGUCAAGCUCGAGUCCGGAAGAGGAGAGUGGAAUUCCUGGUGUAGCGGUGAAAUGCGCAGAUAUCAGGAAGAACACCCGUGGCUAAGGCGGCUCUCUAGUACGGUACUGACGCUGAGACGCGAAAGCGUGGGAAGCGAACAGG
rnacentral:rRNA from 1 species